rnacentral:piRNA from 1 species
UAUUCAAGUUUAUUUCAUUUU